CAAAUUACGAUUAUUCGCCGGUUGAAAAAAUCACUUUUUUGAAGCAUCAGUGUGCGGCGGAACAGCCUGCUAUGCCAUCUCGUCAGCAAGACGAGGGCAGCGUGUAGCCGUAUUUGUGACUGAUGGUUCCAUAGUCAGUCUCAUUCGUACUGCCUUUGCCGCCGAGAUGCGAGGCGUCAUAUCUUCCAGUGACUC
rnacentral:misc_RNA from 1 species